GCCAGCAGCACACCACCCUGCUUCCCACUGCUGGCUUGCUUCUGAAGCUAAGCAGGGUUGGUCCUGGAUGGGAGACCAGAUGCUGCUGGAA
rnacentral:rRNA from 1 species